rnacentral:rRNA from 1 species
AACGAACGCUGGCGGCAUGCCUAACACAUGCAAGUCGAACGAUCCCUUCGGGGAUAGUGGCGCACGGGUGCGUAACGCGUGGGAAUCUGCCCUUGGCUUCGGAAUAACAGUUAGAAAUGACUGCUAAUACCGGAUGAUGUCUUCGGACCAAAGAUUUAUCGGCCAGGGAUGAGCCCGCGUAGGAUUAGGUAGUUGGUGAGGUAAAGGCUCACCAAGCCGACGAUCCUUAGCUGGUCUGAGAGGAUGAUCAGCCACACUGGGACUGAGACACGGCCCAGACUCCUACGGGAGGCAGCAGUGGGGAAUAUUGGACAAUGGGCGCAAGCCUGAUCCAGCAAUGCCGCGUGAGUGAUGAAGGCCUUCGGGUCGUAAAGCUCUUUUACCCGGGAUGAUAAUGACAGUACCGGGAGAAUAAGCUCCGGCUAACUCCGUGCCAGCCGCCGCAGUAAGAC